GGAGAGAUGGCUGAGUGGUUUAAGGCACACGCCUGGAAAGCGUGCGUAGGUAACACUACCGUGGGUUCAAAUCCCACUCUCUCCGCCA
rnacentral:tRNA from 3 species